UUUAAAGCAAAGCUGUGACAGCUUCCGAAAUCGUCAGAUGGUCAGGCAGCCAAAUGAAGUAUCUGGGUUUUCCUGAAUCCUUCAGUCACCACCAUCCCAUACAUGCUUCAUCCCAGCCAACCUGUCUGCCUUUGAAAGGAGAAGAUGGAAAAUGGCAACAGAGGUCUAUGCUCAUGGGAAGCUCAAAGGCAAGAGUGGUGUGAGAUUUCUUGUGAGGAACUAGGAUAUAAGAGCUAAGACUGCUGUUGAGAAGGCAGCUCUCUUGUAUGGAAGGGACUACCUUGUCAUCAGUGCCUUGCCACAGAAACACCAGGCUCUCCAAAGAAACGCUUCGUGGAUGAUGUGUGAAUGAUGGUGGUAAUUGCACGUGGCAUAGCGUCAUCUGUUUUGGUUGUAAAAGGAUGCAGCAAACAGAUGGAGAAUGUUCUGUGUUAGUAUUGCACCCGCCUGCAAUUGUGGACCCGGGGUUGAGGACCCUUGUCUGAGGUCUCUUUGUGCCUGCUGAGGAAAUAACCUGGAUUAAACCUGGGUUCAGUUCACUGAGGGAAUGGCAAGUUGUCCUUGUUACUGGUGAAGGAGCAGUCAGGGAGCAAUGAGGGGAGAACCUCUCUGCUGGCAGUGAGGAGGAUCUGCUGAUAGAGGAGGAGACUUCCAAGACGGCAAGCAAAGAAGGAACCAGCUAUGAAGUGACCAGAAAUGAGCAGAUCCUGCUUCAGUGACAAAGACAGCUGUCAGUGGCUGAAGAGCAGGAAGGGGCAGCCACAGUGUCCCCAGCCAGUGCAGGGGUCUCUGAGGGCUCUCUGGGCAAAACACAGUGGCUGCUCCCAAAGACACCACAGAUUGGACAGCACAUACCGUACAGAGAGCUGCUGCCCAGCCCAAAGCUGAAAAUAGAAAAUAGUAUCUAACCUGGCCACUUUGUGCCUUGGUGAGAAGACAACGGAGGCAGCAGAGUCCUUGAAGCUGGCCACAGGUGUGAGCAACACCCUACAGACCUUUGUAAAGCCCUAAAUACAGCAGCUGCCCAAGCAUCACAUCAGGAGAGCUAGUCAGACUGUGAUCCCAACCUCGGCCUCCUUGCUGCAGUGGGUGGUGCAGAUUUGGUUGUUCUGGAGUGCCCAUGGGAAAGAAAUAUUUUUCAAACACUAAACAUUUUUGGUGAAGGAAUGUUUUCACAGCUUUCUGAGAGUGCCUUUGGGGGCUUGCCAGAAGGGUG
ensembl:lncRNA